rnacentral:rRNA from 1 species
AGAAUCAACGCUGGCGGCGUGCCUAACACAUGCAAGUCGAACGAGAAAGUGGGAGCAAUCCCACGAGUAAAGUGGCGCACGGGUGAGUAACACGUGGCUAACCUACCCUUGAGUGGGGGAUAACCUAGGGAAACCUGGGCUAAUACCGCAUAAUACCUACGGGUCAAAGGAGCAAUUCGCUUAAGGAGGGGGUCGCGGCAGAUUAGUUAGUUGGCGGGGUAAUGGCCCACCAAGACAGUGAUCUGUAUCCGGCCUGAGAGGGCGCACGGACACACUGGAACUGAAACACGGUCCAGACUCCUACGGGAGGCAGCAGUGGGGAAUUUUGCGCAAUGGGGGAAACCCUGACGCAGCAACGCCGCGUGGAGGAUGAAGCCCCUUGGGGCGUAAACUCCUUUCGAUCGGGAAGAUAAUGACGGUACCGGAAGAGAAGCCCCGGCUAACUUCGUGCCAGCAGCCGC